GGACGGUUAGCUCAGGUGGUUAGAGUACAUCGUUGACAUCGAUGGGGUCGUUGGUUCGAGUCCAAUACCGUCCA
rfam:Aphanizomenon flos-aquae MDT13 3, whole genome shotgun sequence.